rnacentral:rRNA from 1 species
UACGUAGGGGGCGAGCGUUGUCCGGAAUUACUGGGCGUAAAGGGUGCGUAGGCGGGCUGUCAAGUCUGAUGUGAAAACUCGGGGCUUAACCCCGAGGUUGCAUUGGAAACUGGCAGUCUUGAGUGCAGGAGAGGGGAGCGGAAUUCCCGGUGUAGCGGUGGAAUGCGUAGAUAUCGGGAGGAACACCAGUGGCGAAGGCGGCUCUCUGGACUGCAACUGACGCUGAGGCACGAAAGCUGGGGGAGCAAACAGG